AUGGAGCCAAUGAGAGAGGAGGUUGCAGAUCCCGAUCGUUUGGAUACAACAAAUCAGAUCAAGGAGAAGAUCCACAUCGUGGUGAUGGUUAGCGGCGACGUUGGGGGCCACACUGAGCAGGAGAUCACGCAGAUUGAUUCUCGGGAUGGUUCUCAUGCAUAUGCAGAGCCGCUAAUUGGGCAAGGCCGUGGUGACCAAGCCAGUCCUCCCCUUGAUCCCAUAUUGACGCUGCUCCGCGCGCGGCUAUCAGGCUCCAGUCUAGUGUGCCAGGAGGUAGAUAGCACGCCAGGUCUACCAGAGCCACAAGCCACAUGUGCGACGGUAGACGUGCACUUGUUGGCAGGGAUGACAAACCAAGAGGUGAUUGCAUAUGAUAGUCUCAAGGCGUUUUGCACCAACAUCAUGAAGAAGCUGGCCCCACCGUUGCUGAAGAAAGUCAAGGCGUCCUCUCUCCGUCUCGACAUGGAGCCUUUCACGCCCAAGCACACGACGAGGGCGACAAAACGCAAUGCGGCUGCAUCCACGACCAAGGCGAAACCUGUGGAGAACAUCCUACUGCGUACCUUGGGACUAGUUCCUGACGAGAUGGUUUUGAAUGAGGAGGCAGUCGGCGAGCUAAAGUUGUUGUUCGACUCGCCUCUGAGAGAGCAACACGUGUGUGUACUAGCGGCCCUGUUUGGCACGACCUUGCCAUCGUCAGAGGAGCUCGCGCGAGGAAGGGACGCGGCUGUGUCGGUGGUCUUAGCGUUGGCAGGCCGGUGCUGGUGUUUGACCUCAGUUCCUUAUGGAGUGCAACCCUGA
rnacentral:rRNA from 1 species